GACUGGGUAGCUCAGUUGGAUAGAAUGUGGUGCUGGUGACACCAAGGUUGCAGGUUCGAUCCCCGUAUGGGACA